GCAAUGGAGACGUGUUGUUUGAUUGGAGACAAUAGGGCGGUUUUUCUUCUCCAUCCAAACGGCAAUCACGUUAAGAGAAAAUAGGUUAGGAACAACGAAUUGCGUAAUUUUUAUUUAAAGCUGGUUGUUGAGUUAAUCGCCGCGAUUAAGUUAAUCACUGUUAAAUCGUGGUUGCUUUAAUUAUCGGAACCAGCGGCCAGCAAUUCGUUGCCGUUGGUAUUUUUGUCUUAAUGCCAUCUCAGGGAAUAUUAUGGUAGUCGGUGUCUCUUCGAAUGAGCGCAGACGAUAAGAACGGAAAGACAUGGGUCGCACUACCUCCUACGAGAAGGAAAACAGUGUCGAAGAGAAUGUUAUAUCAAAGCUAUUCAUCAAGGAUGGAAACAGAGACGCAAUACUUGAUUAUCGCAAAUUUAAAGAGUGCUCCUCUCGAACCAACGUAACGCAAAGUGACAAUUAACAAUGGCUGAUGAUUGUCGAGAAUUAGCAGUGUAGGAUAGCUUGCGAAUAAUAGUAUCGGCGGAUGCUAGAUCCUCAAAUUGUUCCGGUGAAGGCAAUGCGGCUUACUCGCGCGUGAAGUGCGUUUCCGCGGGUACCGGCUGAAAGCUGAAAGAUGAUCGCUUGCGUAUUCUCUGCCGCACAAAAAUCGGUGGUUAAGCACUUUCGAGCUGACGCAUUGCUUAAACAUUUUGAUCGUUGCCACGCAGUAUGGCACGUGUUAGCUGUCUUCGUCCUGCUCAUUUUCGAUCGACGCGAGCGAAUAGAGCAUAGAAGCGAUCGCAAACGAUCCUCAUUAUUGGCGUCUCACCGAAUAAUAUUACGCGCCUCCGGACCGGCGCGGCGACGGCGGCGAGCAUUAGAAUUUUGGACCUGGAAGGAAGGCAGACAGAAAAGAAGAGUGACAGGGAAAGAGAGAGAGAGAGAGAGAGAGAGAGAGAAAAAGGAAGAAAGGGAGAGAGAGAGAAAGAGAGAGAAAUCUUGAUAAAUGGGAAAACGCGCCGUUUAAAAGGGCCGCUUAUCGGCACCGCUGAUCUCUCAGUAGAGAUCGUUUCUUCGUCUCGCUACACGUUUGAAUAAUUAAUUUGUUCUCGUGUGCAUCGGAGAUGUUAAGCGUUACACCACAUCUCACAUUACCUCGGCUGACCACGGUGUGUUUACGCUUACCCAGAAUGUUUAAGAUAACGGCCAGUAACCCGACACAGAUUUUUAAAUUACAAAAACGGAUUUCCGACCGUCUAUAUCCCUCGAUCUGUCAGAGACAUUUUACUCUCAAUUCGAGAAUGCUCGCAGGUCAAUUUUCUCUUCUACUUACAUUUUUAUCCGAUAGAAGAAGGAAUGUACCAGUUUGAUGAAAAAAUGAAGCUGACGGAUCCUUUAUAGAAAUGCAGAGCAACGAAAAAUAUAACACGAAGUAUUUACUCUUGUUCUAAAGCAGAGGCAUGAAACGCAAAAGUGCAGUCUCGUAUGAGUAAUCGCAUAUAAUUUACAUGUUGAAUCGCUUGCAAUUCCGUUAGGACAAGAUCUGAUUAAUAAUUUAUACAUACGCUUCUUGCUUCAGGUUUUUCCAUUAAAGCUUUUACCUCUGUCUUUGGAUGCAUUAGUGACCAGUGCUUUUUUUAUACGACCCGAUGCCCCGACUCAUAUUUCGCUUCGAUGAACAAGCGCAAUCUUCCGUUGCAUUCAUACGAUACCCUUUGGAUGAUGUUUGAAAAACGAAGCUGAAUUUUGCGACCGUUCAAUGACAAAAUAACGAGAGACGAAC